rnacentral:rRNA from 1 species
GACGAACGCUGGCGGCGUGCUUAACACAUGCAAGUCGAACGGAAAGGCCCUGCUUUUGUGGGGUGCUCGAGUGGCGAACGGGUGAGUAACACGUGAGUAACCUGCCCUUGACUUUGGGAUAACUUCAGGAAACUGGGGCUAAUACCGGAUAGGAGCUCCUGCUGCAUGGUGGGGGUUGGAAAGUUUCGGCGGUUGGGGAUGGACUCGCGGCUUAUCAGCUUGUUGGUGGGGUAGUGGCUUACCAAGGCUUUGACGGGUAGCCGGCCUGAGAGGGUGACCGGCAACAUUGGGAAUGAGAUACGGCCCAGACUCAUACGGGAGGCAGAAGUGGGGAAUAUUGAACAAUGGGCGGAAGCCUGAUGCAGCAACGCCGCGUGCGGGAUGACGGCCUUCGGGUUGUAAACCGCUUUCGCCUGUGACGAAGCGUGAGUGACGGUAAUGGGUAAAGAAGCACCGGCUAACUACGUG